rnacentral:rRNA from 1 species
CCUACGGGUGGCAGCAGUGGGGAAUAUUGGGCAAUGGGCGAAAGCCUGACCCAGCAACGCCGCGUGAAGGAAGAAGGCUUUCGGGUUGUAAACUUCUUUUGACAGGGAAGAGCAGAAGACGGUACCUGUCGAAUAAGCCACGGCUAACUACGUGCCAGCAGCCGCGGUAAUACGUAGGUGGCAAGCGUUGUCCGGAUUUACUGGGUGUAAAGGGCGUGUAGCCGGGCUGACAAGUCAGAUGUGAAAUCCGGGGGCUCAACCCCCGAACUGCAUUUGAAACUGUUGGUCUUGAGUAUCGGAGAGGCAGGCGGAAUUGCUAGUGUAGCGGUGAAAUGCGUAGAUAUUAGGCAGAACACCAGUGGCGAAGGCAGCCUGCUGGACGACGACUGACGGUGAGGCGCGAAAGCGUGGGGAGCAAACAGGAUUAGAUACCCGAGUAGUC